CCUACGGGAGGCAUCAGUGGGGAAUAUUGCGCAAUGGGCGAAAGCCUGACGCAGCGACGCCGCGUGAGGGAUGAAGGUCUUCGGAUCGUAAACCUCUGUCAGCAGGGAAGAACGGUCACUGUGCUAAUCAGUAGUGAAUUGACGGUAACUGCAAAGGAAGCACCGGCUAACUACGUGCCAGCAGCCGCUGUAAUACGGAGGGUGCGUGUGUUAAUCGGAUUUACGGGGCGUAAAGGGCGCGUAGACGGUAUGUCAAGUCAGGGGUGAAAUCCCGGGGCUCAACGUGGGAACUGCUGUUGAAACUGGCAAACUGUAGUGCGUGAGAGGAUAGUGGAAUUCCUGGUGUAGCGGUGAAAUGCGUAGAUAUCAGGAGGAACACCAGUGGCGAAGGCGGCUAUCUGGCACGUAACUGACGCUGAGGAGCGAAAGCGUGGGUAGCGAACAGGAUUAGAUACCCCUGUAGUC
rnacentral:rRNA from 1 species